rnacentral:rRNA from 1 species
GAUGAACGCUAGCUACAGGCUUAACACAUGCAAGUCGAGGGGAAACGACAUCGGAAGCUUGCUUUUGAUGGGCGUCGACCGGCGCACGGGUGAGUAACGCGUAUCCAACCUGCCCACCACUUGGGAAUAACCUUGCGAAAGUAAGACUAAUACCCAAUGACGUCUCUAGAAGACAUCUGAAAGAGAUUAAAGAUUUAUCGGUGAUGGAUGGGGAUGCGUCUGAUUAGCUUGUUGGCGGGGUAACGGCCCACCAAGGCGACGAUCAGUAGGGGUUCUGAGAGGAAGGUCCCCCACAUUGGAACUGAGACACGGUCCAAACUCCUACGGGAGGCAGCAGUGAGGAAUAUUGGUCCAAAUGGACGAGAGUCUGAACCAGCCAAGUAGCGUGCAGGAUGAACGGCCCUAAUGGGUUGUAAACUGCUUUUAUAAGGGAAUAAAGUGAGUCUCGUGAGACUUUUUGCAUGUACCUUAUGAAUUAAGGACCGGCUAAAUUCCGUG